GUUGAGUGAAUUCAAUAUUCGUGAAUGAAUAUCGACCGUAAACGCACAACGAAGAAGCGCAUUAUCUCGGAUGGCGAUCCUGCAUCGUGUACACAUCUAUAUGCACCUACAUGUUCUUCUUCUUCUAGUUCUUUGACCGCAAUGAAGUGCGUUGAGCGUCAUUCGCGCGGGUUGUCUCACUUGGCCCCUCCUCGCACCAGAACAACACGCGGAGCGAGGAAGUCGUCCGGGUGUACGCGUUCUUGUAUUACCUAUGGUACCUACUUUCGUCCGAAAUGUUUUCGCUCGAUGGAAAUUACCGACGUAGUCACAACGACGAUCCAUGUGUCACAAUAUGGCUUACCAA